GUUAAGAUGGCAGAGCCCGGUAAUUGCAAAAGGUCUAAGCCCUUUCUACCAGAGGUUCAACUCCUCUUCUUAACU
rnacentral:tRNA from 3 species